UAUUUUUGCUGUGGUUGCCUAGUUAAUGGUCAUUCUACUCUGAUAGAUUUUUCUCAUCUUUUUAUACUGUCACCCAAAGUUCCCUUUGUCAUCUGACAGGUUGAACCUCCUUUCCUCUUAGAAACUGCCUGCCCAUAAGGAUUUUUCUGUUUGAUAUAAGAUUACAAUCACAUACAGGAUAUAUAUCUUGGACACUGUAGUCCUAUGUUGCUACCUCUCCCCUUUAAAGGUUUUUUUUAAAUUUUUUCUUCCAUUUUUAUUAAAUUGGGUAUUUCUUAUUUAUAUUUCAAAUGUUAUUCCCUUUCCCGGUUUCCUGUCCAUCAGCUCCCUACCCCCUCUACCUCACCUUCUCUAUGGGUGUUCCCCUCCCCAUUCUCCCCCCAUUGCCACCCUCCCCCCAACAAUCACGUUCACUGGGGGUUCAGUCUUAGCAGGACCAAGGGCUUCCCCUUCCACUGGUGAUCUUACUAGGAUAUUCAUUGCUACCUAUGAGGUCAGAGUCCAGGGUCAGUCCAUGU
rnacentral:lncRNA from 1 species